rnacentral:rRNA from 1 species
AUUGAACGCUGGCGGCAGGCCUAACACAUGCAAGUCGAGCGAGCGGCGGACGGGUGAGUAAUGUAUGGGGAUCUGCCCGAUGGAGGGGGAUAACUACUGGAAACGGUAGCUAAUACCGCAUACCAUCAGAUGAACCCAUAUGGGAUUAGCUUGUAGGUAGGGUAACGGCUUACCUAGGCGACGCUCCCUAGCUGGUCUGAGAGGAUGAUCAGCCAAACUGGGACUGAGACACGGCCCAGACUCCUACGGGAGGCAGCAGUGGGGAAUAUUGCACAAUGGGGGCAAGCCGGAUGCAGCCAUGCCGCGUGUAUGAAGAAGGCCUUCGGGUUGUAAAGUACUUUCAGUGGGGAGGCGUUACCGACAGAAGAAGCACCGGCUAACUCCGUGCCAGCAGCCGCGGUAAUAC